rnacentral:rRNA from 1 species
AUUGAACGCUGGCGGCAGGCCUAACACAUGCAAGUCGAACGAGUGGCGGACGGGUGAGUAAUGUCUGGGAAACUGCCCGAUGGAGGGGGAUAACUACUGGAAACGGUAGCUAAUACCGCAUAACAUCAGAUAUGCCCAGAUGGGAUUAGCUAGUGGGGGGGGUAACUGCUCACCAAGGAUACGCUCCCGAGCUGGUCUGAGAGGAUGACCAGCAACACUGGAACUGGGACACGGUCCAGACUCCUACGGGAGGCAGCAGUGGGGAAUAUUGCACAAUGGGCGCAAGCCUGAUGCAGCCAUGCCGCGUGUAUGAAGAAGGCCUUCGGGUUGUAAAGUACUUUCAGCGGGGAGGCGUUACCCGCAGAAGAAGCACCGGCUAACUCCGUGCCAGCAGCCGCGGUAAUAC